rnacentral:rRNA from 1 species
UGCUAAUACAUGCAAGUCGAACGCUGGAGAUCUAGCUUGCUAGAUUGAAGGAGUGGCGAACGGGUGAGUAAUACAUAAGCAACCUACCCACGAAGACUGGGAUAAUCUCUGGAAACGGGGACUAAUACCGGAUAGGUAAUCGGAAGGCAUCUUCUGAUUAUUAAAGGUUAAAAACACUGGUGGAUGGGCUUAUGGCGCAUUAGUUAGUUGGUGAGGUAACGGCCCACCAAGACGAUGAUGCGUAGCCGGCCUGAGAGGGUGAACGGCCACAUUGGGACUGAGACACGGCCCAGACUCCUACGGGAGGCAGCAGUAGGGAAUUUUCGGCAAUGGGGGAAACCCUGACCGAGCAACGCCGCGUGAGUGAUGACGGCCUUCGGGUUGUAAAGCUCUGUUGUAAGGGAAGAACGGUAGAUAGAGAAUAUCUAAGUGACGGUACCUUACCAGAAAGCCACGGCUAACUACGUGCCAGCAGCCGCGGUAAUACGUAGGUGGCGAGCGUUAUCCGGAAUUAUUGGGCGUAAAGGGUGCGUAGGCGGCCUGUUAAGUAAGUGGUUAAAUUGUUGGGCUCAACCCAAUCCAGCCACUUAAACUGGCAGGCUAGAGUAUUGGAGAGGCAAGUGGAAUUCCAUGUGUAGCGGUAAAAUGCGUAGAUAUAUGGAGGAACACCAGUGGCGAAGGCGGCUUGCUAGCCAAAGACUGACGCUCAUGCACGAAAGCGUGGGGAGCAAAUAGGAUUAGAUACCCUAGUAGUCCACGCCGUAAACGAUGAAUACUAAGUAUUGGGGAAACUCAGUGCUGCAGCUAACGCAAUAAGUAUUCCGCCUGUGGA